UCGGAAGGUGCGGCUGGAUCACCUCCUUUCUAUGGAGAAUCGUUUCCUGCAACGGAAACAUUCGAACGUCGUUCUUUUCGAAGAACGACAAACGCAGAACACUUCGGUGGAUCUGUGGUCACCCAAGUGGUGACACACUCACUCGUUGUUCAGUUUUGAAAGAGUAAACCUCUUUCAAACUGUUGAUCCUUGAAAACUGGAUACCGAAAACGAAACAUCGCGUUUUAGAAUGUUUCUUCUCUACGACUGUGUGAAGCAGCAGUAGGCGAGAAAUAAUAUACACCGUUUCUAUUUAAAUAGAAACACUUAGGUUAAGCUACUAAGAGCACAC
rnacentral:misc_RNA from 1 species